GUAGGUGAACCUGCGGAAGGAUCAUUAACACGUUAUCCACGUAUCCACCAACGAGAUGUACGUUUUCAACGCUCUCCUCUGGGAGAAUGAACUGAGCCUUCGUAGAGUUAUUGAAAGGGAUGCUCACGCGUCAGACUCUACUCGCCACUUGCAUCGUCACGGCCAUUGCUGCGUCGGUGCAGACAGUUGUAUUUUCUGGAGGACUCUCGCUCACUAUGUUCGGGUCUCCUUUCAUUGACUUUUUCUGUGA
rnacentral:misc_RNA from 1 species